AAGGUUAAGCCUCACGGUUCAUUAGUACCGGUUAGCUCAACGCAUCGCUGCGCUUACACACCCGGCCUAUCAACGUCGUCGUCUUCAACGUUCCUUCAGGACUCUCAAGGAGUCAGGGAGAACUCAUCUCGGGGCAAGUUUCGUGCUUAGAUGCUUUCAGCACUUAUCUCUUCCGCAUUUAGCUACCGGGCAGUGCCAUUGGCAUGACAACCCGAACACCAGUGAUGCGUCCACUCCGGUCCUCUCGUACUAGGAGCAGCCCCCCUCAGUUCUCCAGCGCCCACGGCAGAUAGGGACCGAACUGUCUCACGACGUUCUAAACCCAGCUCGCGUACCACUUUAAAUGGCGAACAGCCAUACCCUUGGGACCUACUUCAGCCCCAGGAUGUGAUGAGCCGACAUCGAGGUGCCAAACACCGCCGUCGAUAUGAACUCUUGGGCGGUAUCAGCCUGUUAUCCCCGGAGUACCUUUUAUCCGUUGAGCGAUGGCCCUUCCAUUCAGAACCACCGGAUCACUAUGACCUGCUUUCGCACCUGCUCGCGCCGUCACGCUCGCAGUCAAGCUGGCUUAUGCCAUUGCACUAACCUCCUGAUGUCCGACCAGGAUUAGCCAACCUUCGUGCUCCUCCGUUACUCUUUAGGAGGAGACCGCCCCAGUCAAACUACCCACCAGACACUGUCCGCAACCCGGAUUACGGGUCAACGUUAGAACAUCAAACAUUAAAGGGUGGUAUUUCAAGGUCGGCUCCAUGCAGACUGGCGUCCACACUUCAAAGCCUCCCACCUAUCCUACACAUCAAGGCUCAAUGUUCAGUGUCAAGCUAUAGUAAAGGUUCACGGGGUCUUUCCGUCUUGCCGCGGGUACACUGCAUCUUCACAGCGAGUUCAAUUUCACUGAGUCUCGGGUGGAGACAGCCUGGCCAUCAUUACGCCAUUCGUGCAGGUCGGAACUUACCCGACAAGGAAUUUCGCUACCUUAGGACCGUUAUAGUUACGGCCGCCGUUUACCGGGGCUUCGAUCAAGAGCUUCGCUUGCGCUAACCCCAUCAAUUAACCUUCCGGCACCGGGCAGGCGUCACACCGUAUACGUCCACUUUCGUGUUUGCACAGUGCUGUGUUUUUAAUAAACAGUUGCAGCCAGCUGGUAUCUUCGACUGAUUUCAGCUCCAUCCGCGAGGGACUUCACCUACAUAUCAGCGUGCCUUCUCCCGAAGUUACGGCACCAUUUUGCCUAGUUCCUUCACCCGAGUUCUCUCAAGCGCCUUGGUAUUCUCUACCUGACCACCUGUGUCGGUUUGGGGUACGAUUUGAUGUUACCUGAUGCUUAGAGGCUUUUCCUGGAAGCAGGGCAUUUGUUGCUUCAGCACCGUAGUGCCUCGUCAUCACGCCUCAGCCUUGAUUUUCCGGAUUUGCCUGGAAAACCAGCCUACACGCUUAAACCGGGACAACCGUCGCCCGGCCAACAUAGCCUUCUCCGUCCCCCCUUCGCAGUAACACCAAGUACAGGAAUAUUAACCUGUUUCCCAUCGACUACGCCUUUCGGCCUCGCCUUAGGGGUCGACUCACCCUGCCCCGAUUAACGUUGGACAGGAACCCUUGGUCUUCCGGCGAGCGGGCUUUUCACCCGCUUUAUCGUUACUUAUGUCAGCAUUCGCACUUCUGAUACCUCCAGCAUACCUCACAGUACACCUUCACAGGCUUACAGAACGCUCCCCUACCCAACAACGCAUAAGCGUCGCUGCCGCAGCUUCGGUGCAUGGUUUAGCCCCGUUACAUCUUCCGCGCAGGCCGACUCGACCAGUGAGCUAUUACGCUUUCUUUAAAUGAUGGCUGCUUCUAAGCCAACAUCCUGGCUGUCUGGGCCUUCCCACAUCGUUUCCCACUUAACCAUGACUUUGGGACCUUAGCUGGCGGUCUGGGUUGUUUCCCUCUUCACGACGGACGUUAGCACCCGCCGUGUGUCUCCCGUGAUAACAUUCUCCGGUAUUCGCAGUUUGCAUCGGGUUGGUAAGUCGGGAUGACCCCCUUGCCGAAACAGUGCUCUACCCCCGGAGAUGAAUUCACGAGGCGCUACCUAAAUAGCUUUCGGGGAGAACCAGCUAUCUCCCGGUUUGAUUGGCCUUUCACCCCCAGCCACAAGUCAUCCGCUAAUUUUUCAACAUUAGUCGGUUCGGUCCUCCAGUUAGUGUUACCCAACCUUCAACCUGCCCAUGGCUAGAUCACCGGGUUUCGGGUCUAUACCCUGCAACUUAACGCCCAGUUAAGACUCGGUUUCCCUUCGGCUCCCCUAUUCGGUUAACCUUGCUACAGAAUAUAAGUCGCUGACCCAUUAUACAAAAGGUACGCAGUCACACAGAUUGCUCUGUGCUCCCACUGCUUGUACGUACACGGUUUCAGGUUCUUUUUCACUCCCCUCGCCGGGGUUCUUUUCGCCUUUCCCUCACGGUACUGGUUCACUAUCGGUCAGUCAGGAGUAUUUAGCCUUGGAGGAUGGUCCCCCCAUAUUCAGACAGGAUACCACGUGUCCCGCCCUACUCAUCGAGCUCACAGUAUGUGUAUUUUUGUGUACGGGGCUGUCACCCUGUAUCGCGCGCCUUUCCAGACGCUUCCACUAACACACACACUGAUUCAGGCUCUGGGCUGCUCCCCGUUCGCUCGCCGCUACUGGGGGAAUCUCGGUUGAUUUCUUUUCCUCGGGGUACUUAGAUGUUUCAGUUCCCCCGGUUCGCCUCAUUAACCUAUGGAUUCAGUUAAUGAUAGUGUGUCGAAACACACUGGGUUUCCCCAUUCGGAAAUCGCCGGUUAUAACGGUUCAUAUCACCUUACCGACGCUUAUCGCAGAUUAGCACGUCCUUCAUCGCCUCUGACUGCCAGGGCAUCCACCGUGUACGCUUAGUCGCUUAA
rnacentral:rRNA from 1 species